rnacentral:rRNA from 1 species
CCUACGGGAGGCAGCAGUGGGGAAUAUUGCACAAUGGGCGCAAGCCUGAUGCAGCGACGCCGCGUGAGGGAUGACGGCCUUCGGGUUGUAAACCUCUUCCAGUAGGGAAGAAGCGAAAGUGACGGUACCUGCAGAAGAAGCGCCGGCUAACUACGUGCCAGCAGCCGCGGUAGUACGUAGGGCGCAAGCGUUAUCCGGAAUUAUUGGGCGUAAAGAGCUCGUAGGUGGUUUGUCGCGUCUGCCGUGAAAGUCCGGGGCUCAACUCCGGAUCUGCGGUGGGUACGGGCAGACUAGAGUGAUGUAGGGGAGACUGGAAUUCCUGGUGUAGCGGUGAAAUGCGCAGAUAUCAGGAGGAACACCGAUGGCGAAGGCAGGUCUCUGGGCAUUAACUGACGCUGAGGAGCGGAAGCAUGGGGAGCGAACAGGAUUAGAUACCCUGGUAGUCCAUGCCGUAAGCGUUGGGCACUAGGUGUGGGGGACAUUCCACGUUUUCCGCGCCGUAGCUAACGCAUUAAGUGCCCCGCCUGGGGAGUACGGCCGCAAGGCUAAAACUCAAAGGAAUUGACGG